rnacentral:rRNA from 1 species
AUUACCGAGUUUACAACUCCCAAACCCCAGUGUGAACGUUACCAUUCUGUUGCCUCGGCGGGUUUACUCUCUCUGCCCCGGGCGCGUCGCAGCCCCGGACCAAGGCGCCCGCCGGAGGACCAACUUUGCAAACUCUUUUUUUGUAGGAGAUCCCAUCGCGGAUUCCCCUUUAUUGCUUCUGAGCUUUAUCGGCGCUCCUAGCGGGCGUUUCGAAAAUGAAUCAAAACUUUCAACAACGGAUCUCUUGGUUCUGGCAUCGAUGAAGAACGCAGCGAAAUGCGAUAAGUAAUGUGAAUUGCAGAAUUCAGUGAAUCAUCGAAUCUUUGAACGCACAUUGCGCCCGCCAGUAUUCUGGCGGGCAUGCCUGUCCGAGCGUCAUUUCAACCCUCGAACCCCUCCGGGGGGUCGGCGUUGGGGAUCGGCUGAUACAUGCCGGCCCCGAAAUACAGUGGCGGUCUCGCCGCAGCCUCUCCUGCGCAGUAGUUUGCACACUCGCAACGGGAGCGCGGCGCGUCCACGGCCGUAAAACAACCCAAACUUCUGAAAGGUUGACC